AUAUUUAGCUGUCAGGGGAGGUACCAUGAUUAUGCAAGUUGUUUUCCCAGGGUGAGGUUUAUCCAUUGCACUCUGGAUGUGCUGGCCCCUGUGAUUUCCCCAAAUGUGGGAAACUUGACUGCAUAAUUUGUGGUAGUGGGGGACUGUGUUCGCACUCUCCCCUG